rnacentral:rRNA from 1 species
UACAGAGGCCUCGAGCGUUAGGCGGAAUCACUGGGCUUAAAGCGUGUGUAGGCGGAUCGUUAAGUGUCUUGUGAAAUCCCACGGCUCACCCGUGGAACUGCUGGGCAUACUGGCGAUCUUGGGCCAACUAGGGGCAACUGGAACAAGCGGUGGAGCGGUGAAAUGCGUAGAUAUCGCUUGGAACGCCAAAGGUGAAAACAGGUUGCUGGGGUUGUGCCGACGCUGAGACACGAAAGCCAGGGGAGCAAACGGG